rnacentral:rRNA from 1 species
UACGUAGGGAGCAAGCGUUGUCCGGAAUCAUUGGGCGUAAAGCGCGCGUAGGCGGCCUCAUAAGUCCGUUGUGAAAGUCAAAGGCUCAACCUUUGAAAGCCGAUGGAUACUGUGAGGCUAGAGUCCGGAAGAGGCGAGUGGAAUUCCUGGUGUAGCGGUGGAAUGCGCAGAUAUCAGGAGGAACACCGGUGGCGAAGGCGGGUCUCUGGGCCGAUAUCGACGCUGAGGAGCGAAAGCGUGGGGAGCGAACAGG